GUCUGCCUUCCAAACCCACCUUAUAAAUGCUUACAUUGUGACGUCUAACCGUCCGUUACAAAUAAUAUUCAUACAAAAAUUCACUCUCAUGGCUUGUUUCUCCGGCCAAAACAGUCUUCCUCACUUUCUCCUGAUCCCGAUCCUGAUCCCGAUCCUGAUCCUGAUCCUCUUCUCUCCUACUCUAAAACGCUCUUAAGCUAGCUGGCCAGCUAGCUUGGUCUUUGUUUGUAUGCCUCUCAACCAGCUAGCUCUUCCUUUUCACUAAUUUAAUUCAGGUUAAUUAGCUAGCAGCGAUGGCCGUGAAGAUGGGGUUGGAGAGGUUGGUAGUGACUUUAAAAUCUAAAAUAAGGUCCAGCUUGAAGAUGAAGAAACCUUAUGAUAAAAUCGAAAAGAGCGAGAGCAUGAGAUUUGAGAUAAGAAGCAGGAAGGCUCGGAAGCUUAUUGAAAAGACCUUGAAAACCGCGGAUUCGCCAAAGACCAUGAUCAAGAUCACUAGUACUUCAGCGUAGCUGGUGUACGUUUCUGAUCAUCAUCCAAUGCUUGAAACAACAACUACAAGCAUAUAUGCUAGCUGGUUAAUUAAUUCAUACUUGUUUAUGUACGUUAGCCAUUGUGUGUGCAUGGUUUAAUAUACGAUCGAGAUGCUGAUCCGGAUUCCCCUCCGCCGGCGGCCUAGCUCUCUGAUCUCAUGUCUCUGAUCACUCUCCCUUCUUGCGAGUAAUUUACUAUUUAAAUAUAUAUGCGUAAACAUUAUGCAUAUAUGCAAGGCCUUGUACAACCAUAUAUAUAUAUAUUAGGUUUUUAAAAUGCUUUAAGAUUUUAUAGAUUUACCAAUCA